UUGUGUGUGAGGAGCAAAUUUGAAAAAAGCGUCUGGGGUGGAAACAUGGCAACACUCCCAGGUGCUUUUUGAU
rnacentral:sRNA from 1 species